rnacentral:rRNA from 1 species
UAGCUGGUCUGAGAGGAUGACCAGCCACAUUGGGACUGAGACACGGCCCAAACUCCUACGGGAGGCAGCAGUGGGGAAUAUUGGACAAUGGGCGAAAGCCUGAUCCAGCAAUGCCGCGUGUGUGAAGAAGGUCUUCGGAUUGUAAAGCACUUUCGGCGGGGACGAUGAUGACGGUACCCGCAGAAGAAGCCCCGGCUAACUUCGUGCCAGCAGCCGCGGUAAUACGAAGGGGGCUAGCGUUGCUCGGAAUGACUGGGCGUAAAGGGCGCGUAGGCGGAUGACACAGUCAGAUGUGAAAUUCCCGGGCUCAACCUGGGGGCUGCAUUUGAUACGUGUUGUCUAGAGUGAGGAAGAGGGUCGUGGAAUUCCCAGUGUAGAGGUGAAAUUCGUAGAUAUUGGGAAGAACACCGGUGGCGAAGGCGGCGACCUGGUCCUUGACUGACGCUGAGGCGCGAAAGCGUGGGGAGCAAACAGGAUUAGAUACCCUGGUAGUCCACGCUGUAAACGAUGUGUGCUGGAUGUUGGGCGACCUAGUCGCUCAGUGUCGUAGCUAACGCGAUAAGCACACCGCCUGGGGAGUACGGCCGCAAAG